rnacentral:rRNA from 1 species
CCUACGGGUGGCUGCAGUGGGGAAUAUUGGACAAUGGGCGAAACCCUGACCCAGCAACGCCGCGUGAAGGAAGAAGGCUUUCGGGUUGUAAACUUCUUUUAUCAGGGAAGAGUAGAAGACGGUACCUGACGUAUAAGCCACGGCUAACUACGGGCCAGCAGCCGCGGUAAAACGGAGGUGGCAGGCGUUGUCCGGAUUUACUGGGUGUAAAGGGCGUGUAGCCGGGUAAACAAGUCAGAUGUGAAAUCCUGCGGCUUAACCGAAGAACUGCAUUUGAAACUGUUGAGCUUGAGUACUGGAGAGGCAGACGGAAUUCCUAGUGUAGCGGUGAAAUGCGUAGAUAUUAGGAGGAACACCAGUGGCGAAGGCGGCUUGCUGGACAGCAACUGACGGUGAGGCGCGAAAGCGUGGGGAGCAAACAGGAUUAGAUACCCUUGUAGUC